GGAUAUAGCUCAGCUGGCAGAGUGCCUGCCUGGCAUGCACUAACCCUGGGUUCAAUCCCCAGCACCA
rnacentral:tRNA from 1 species